rnacentral:rRNA from 1 species
CCUACGGGAGGCAGCAGUAAGGAAUAUUGGUCAAUGGAGGCAACUCUGAACCAGCCAUGCCGCGUGCAGGAAGACAGCCCUCUGGGUCGUAAACUGCUUUUAUUCGGGAAUAAACCUCAUUACGUGUAAUGAGCUGAAUGUACCGAAGGAAUAAGGAUCGGCUAACUCCGUGCCAGCAGCCGCGGUAAUACGGAGGAUCCAAGCGUUAUCCGGAUUUAUUGGGUUUAAAGGGUGCGUAGGCGGUCUUUUUAAGUCGAGGGGUGAAAGACGGUAGCUCAACUAUCGCAGUGCCCUUGAUACUGAAGAGCUUGAAUGGACUAGAGGUAGGCGGAAUGUGACAAGUAGCGGUGAAAUGCAUAGAUAUGUCACAGAACACCGAUUGCGAAGGCAGCUUACUAUGGUUUUAUUGACGCUGAGGCACGAAAGCGUGGGGAUCAAACAGGAUUAGAUACCCUGGUAGUCCACGCCCUAAACGAUGAAUACUCGCUGUUAGCGAUACACAGUUAGCGGCUAAGCGAAAGCGUUAAGUAUUCCACCUGGGGAGUACGGUCGCGAAGAUUGAAACUUAAAUGAAUUGACGCGUGAGACGAGACGAGACGACGACGAGGGAGGAGG